UACGUAGGGCGCAAGCGUUGUCCGGAAUUACUGGGCGUAAAGCGUGCGCAGGCGGCUUUGCAAGACAGAUGUGAAAUCCCCGGGCUUAACCUGGGAACUGCAUUUGUGACUGCAAGGCUGGAGUGCGGCAGAGGGGGAUGGAAUUCCGCGUGUAGCAGUGAAAUGCGUAGAUAUGCGGAGGAACACCGAUGGCGAAGGCAAUCCCCUGGGCCUGCACUGACGCUCAUGCACGAAAGCGUGGGGAGCAAACAGG
rnacentral:rRNA from 1 species